rnacentral:misc_RNA from 1 species
GAUGAAGAACGUAGCGAAAUGCGAUACGUAAUGUGAAUUGCAAAUUCAGUGAAUCAUCGAGUCUUUGAACGCACAUUGCGCCCGCCAGUAUUCUGGCGGGCAUGCCUGUUCGAGCGUCAUUUCAACCAUCAAGCCCCCGGCUUGUGUUGGGGACCUGCGGCUGCCGCAGGCCCUGAAAACCAGUGGCGGGCUCGCUAGUCACUCCGAGCGUAGUAAUACAUCUCGCUCAGGGCGUGCUGCGGGUUCCGGCCGUUAAAAAGCCUUAUUUACCCAAGGUUGACCUCGGAUCAGGUAGGAAGACCCGCUGAACUUAAGCAUAUCAAUAAGCGGAGGA